rnacentral:rRNA from 1 species
AAAGCGGGCACUAUGGUGAGACGUGAAAACACCCGAUCCCUUUCCGACCUCGUGCAGUGAAAUCGUCUUGCGCCAUAUGUACUGAAAUUAUUCGGGAGACAUGGGAAAAGCCCGGG